AUUGAACGCUGGCGGCAGGCUUAACACAUGCAAGUCGAGCGAGCGGCGGACGGGUGUGUAAUGUCUGGGAAACUGCCUGAUGGAGGGGGAUAACUACUGGAAACGGUAGCUAAUACCGCAUACCAUCAGAUGUGCCCAGAUGGGCUUAGCUAGUAGGUGGGGUAAUGGCUCACCUAGGCGACGAUCCCUAGCUGGUCUGAGAGGAUGACCAGCCACACGGGAACGGAGCACCGGUCCAGACCCCUACGGGAGGCAGCAGGGGGGAAUAUUGCACAAUGGGCGAAAGCCGGCUGCAGCAAUGCCGCGUGUGUGAAGAAGGCCUCCGGGCUGUAAAGCACUUUCAGCGAGGAGGCGUUACUCGCAGAAGAAGCACCGGCUAACUCCGUGCCAGCAGCCGCGGUAAUAC
rnacentral:rRNA from 1 species